UACGUAGGGUGCAAGCGUUGUCCGGAAUUACUGGGCGUAAAGAGCUCGUAGGUGGUUUGUCACGUCGUCUGUGAAAUUCCACAGCUUAACUGUGGGCGUGCAGGCGAUGCGGGCUGACUUGAGUACUGUAGGGGUAACUGGAAUUCCUGGUGUAGCGGUGAAAUGCGCAGAUAUCAGGAGGAACACCGAUGGCGAAGGCAGGUUACUGGGCAGUCACUGACGCUGAGGAGCGAAAGC
rnacentral:rRNA from 1 species